rnacentral:rRNA from 1 species
UACGUAGGGUCCGAGCGUUGUCCGGAAUUACUGGGCGUAAAGAGCUCGUAGGCGGCUUGUCACGUCGGGUGUGAAAGCCCGGGGCUUAACCCCGGGUCUGCAUUCGAUACGGGCUGGCUAGAGUGUGGUAGGGGAGAUCGGAAUUCCUGGUGUAGCGGUGAAAUGCGCAGAUAUCAGGAGGAACACCGGUGGCGAAGGCGGAUCUCUGGGCCAUUACUGACGCUGAGGAGCGAAAGCGUGGGGAGCGAACAGG